UACGUAGGGGGCAAGCGUUGUCCGGAAUCAUUGGGCGUAAAGAGCGUGUAGGCGGCCAGAUAAGUCCGCUGUGAAAUCUCGAGGCUCAACUUCGAGCUGUCGGUGGAAACUGUCUGGCUAGAGUCCGGAAGAGGAGAAUGGAAUUCCUGGUGUAGCGGUGAAAUGCGCAGAUAUCAGGAAGAACACCCGUGGCGAAGGCGGUCUCUGGGACGGUACUGACGCUGAGACGCGAAGCGUGGGGAGCGAACAGG
rnacentral:rRNA from 1 species